AGGGUGACUGCGGAAGGAUCAGGAACGAGUGCGGGGCCUUUGGGCCAACCUCCCAUCCGUGUCUAUUGUACCCUGUUGCUUCGGCGGGCCCGCCGCUUGUCGGCCGCCGGGGGGGCGCCUCUGCCCCCCGGGCCCGUGCCCGCCGGAGACCCCAACACGAACACUGUCUGAAAGCGUGCAGUCUGAGUUGAUUGAAUGCAAUCAGUUAAAACUUUCAACAAUGGAUCUCUUGGUUCCGGCAUCGAUGAAGAACGCAGCGAAAUGCGAUAACUAAUGUGAAUUGCAGAAUUCAGUGAAUCAUCGAGUCUUUGAACGCACAUUGCGCCCCCUGGUAUUCCGGGGGGCAUGCCUGUCCGAGCGUCAUUGCUGCCCUCAAGCCCGGCUUGUGUGUUGGGUCGCCGUCCCCCUCUCCGGGGGGACGGGCCCGAAAGGCAGCGGCGGCACCGCGUCCGAUCCUCGAGCGUAUGGGGCUUUGUCACAUGCUCUGUAGGAUUGGCCGGCGCCUGCCGACGUUUUCCAACCAUUCUUCCAGGUUGACCUCGGAUCAGUAGAAAACCAAAAGAACUUAAGCAUAUCAAUAA
rnacentral:rRNA from 1 species